ACGAGCGUAGCUCAACGGUAGAGCAACGGUUUCCAAAACCGUCGGUUGGGGGUUCAAAUCCCUCCGCUCGUG
rnacentral:tRNA from 8 species